rnacentral:sRNA from 1 species
CAUUACCGUGUCUAAACGCUCAAUGGGUGAGGCUACGACUAAUAGUGGACCGUUGAAGUGCCAGAAAAAGCUAUCCGACCUUGCAAGCUCUAAAUGGGCGAGCUAAGUAACGCACAUUGUCGGUGGCGGCAAGAUGCUUGCUAGAUGCAAAACCUCGCAGCUUUUUGAUGAACGCGAGGAAGUAUUGAUUUGGUUGAAGAUGCAGCCCAAAGUACUUGUGUCCCGGUUUGCUUUUCCAGCACCUAUUUUGUUUUUUUAAAUCAUUAAUGAUAUGUUUCCAUCUCCCGGAGACAAUUACCCCUUCAUCCUGCGCGUUGUGAUCUCUAUCUGUGGAGAACCAUUUUACGAGCCCUCCAUAAAGAUUCCCGUUGUCUACUAGCUGUGCCCAUUAUUAAACUCUUUGCAUGAAAUAUCUCUCUAAGAUGAUCUAUUUUCUGGCUCCCUUCAAUUUCCUUAUCAGAAAUGUCUAACCAACCACCAAAAAAAAAAAAAAAAAGAAAAAGAAAAAGAAAAAGACCAUUAAUAUUGCCCCAUAACUCCCUAAUAUUACUGCAAAAUUUCCGCUUCUGCAAAGUUUCUGCAAUGCUGUACUUAACUGUGUUCCAAGAAAAUCCCAAUUAAGCCCUCCUGUGGGUUUCAUUGUCGUGCCUAUUGAUUUCGUUACUCGGUCAGGAUUAACAUCACGAUCUUAUUCAUUGUCAAUUACC